CAGCCUCUGGGCUUGGUGCACGCAGGCCGUGUAGAUGUGAAUGAAGGCUUUGCUCACUUGCAGGUUUCUUUUUAGAGAGAAAUUCUAGAAUGAGAUGGAUUGGAAGAGGGUUAGCUUGGGGUUUCAUGUGCCGCUCACUGCAAAAUGAGAAAUUCCGGCAGGGGCCAGCCAGACGCUAAUGUCCUCUCUUCGGAAACAUCUUAAGUGAAAAGCCCAUGCGUUGCCCAUGGCGAGUGCUUGACUCUGCUGUGGGCCGGGUGCCUUCAUGGGAUCCCGCCCCCGCCUACUUGAGAUCCAGCAGGUCUGUCUCCUCCUGCGAGUUCUACAGCAAAGUUUCCUCUGCACAGCUUGACAGAGACUGUCCAGGGCCAGCAGUUCUCUCACUGCCCAAUAGUCUCGCAGCUUCCUUGAACCUCACCUUGUCUCCAUGGUGGAUCAGGAGGAUCAGCAUAUAAAGCAGUGUCCACACAGGACACACACCCCCGUGUUGCACUGUCAGCCUGCUGAUUGACAGUUUUCAGUGCUUUUAUUAGGUUAGCCGAAAAGCUUCUUCGAUUUUAAAGUAAAAAUAAAAGGCAGUUUUCAUUUUCACCAAGAACUUUAUUGAAGUACAUAUUCGUUGUUUUGUUCCAUUACCUUUUGCCAUUUCCCAGGCAACUUCGUAAUUCCAUCUUCCCAAAGCUUGUUAUCUUUUUGAGCAAAGAACUGCCGAGUGCCUUUUACAGCCUUCCAGGGAAUUGAAAUUUUUCCCGUCAAGAGAAUUUUGUAAAGACUGAAACAAAUGAACAUCCGGAAGUGCAGUGUCUGCUGGAUACGGAGGAUGAAUCAGAACUUCCCAGCCAAGCUGUAACAGUAUUAGCCUAGUCAACCAAAGAAUCAUUCAGUCUUACAUUAUCCUGAUGGGAGGGUUUUGUUUUUUUUUCUGUUGACUAAUUCUGGACAUUUUUCGUGGCAUGCUGCUUUUGGUUGGUCUCACUGGGAGCAGUACUUGUUGGACCCAAUCGUGUGGUUUUCCAGAAGGAGCUCAGAGGACUCCCUGCCAACCCCACCCCAUACAUCACCUCGCCUUUGCAUGAAGACCAGCUUUUGGUGUGGUUGGUGGUCGUUCAUUUCGCUUGCCCUAUGAUCUCUUCUGUUCCACACUUUUGUACAGUAUCCAUUUUUCCUUGCCUGGUGUUUUAAAAAUGGAACAUUUUUGUUAUGUUUAAGUAGAGAAUCACAUGUGGAAAUAAGGUACAGAAGGUUUUUUUCACUUAACUUACGUGGAACCCAAAUAUCAAAGCGAUGAACAUAAUUAAGCUGGUGCAAAUGAUUUUCAGUGCUUGCUUGGAACAUUUUGAGUAUGUCCACUCUCUCCCGUGUGGUGUAACGUUGAUUAUUCUCAAUGUCUCAGUUUGGUGGCUGUCAACUUCGAGUAGUCUGCUGAGCCAUGGAGCAUCGUCCAGUGAGAAAUCCCAGCAUAAAACUUCACAAACCACUUUUGGCACUUUUGAUCAGUCACAGCACAUACUCCAUACACGGCACAACUCUUUUUUUGCAUUUUAAUCUCAUUCUUACCUUUCUCGAAAUAAGAAAGCUUUUGUGUGUGCAUGCUCAGUCAAUAAGACGCU